rnacentral:rRNA from 1 species
UACGUAGGCAGCAAGCGUUGUUCGGAAUUAUUGGGCGUAAAGGGCGCGUAGGCGAUCUGAAAAGUUCUGUGUGAAAGCCCACAUGUUAACUGUGGAAGUGCACAGAAAACUGUUGGAUUUGAGUUCAGGAGAGGAAGGCAGAAUUCCCGGUGUAGCGGUGAAAUGCGUAGAGAUCGGGAGGAAUACCAGUGGCGAAGGCGGCCUUCUGGACUGACACUGACGCUGAGGCGCGAAAGCCAGGGGAGCAAACGGG